UGCUCAGCGCGAAGCGAACGUUGCAACAUCUAAUUUGCGCUAUUGAAAUUUGAAUCUGUUGUUCCAACAAUCUCUCAAAGUAAAGCAAUUUUCAUGAUUUCCUUUACAUUUCAUCGUCUCUACAGACUUCACCAUUUUACAGCUUCUACCACACUCCUCAAUGGCAUCCUUUUCUCCCAUCCUUACCAUUUCUUCAACUUUAAUAGUAACCCCUUUUGGCGCUAUACCCAAUUCAGUUCUUUUACAACAAACCCAUUGUCUUCUGAUUUUGAUUCAGUUGUCAAAAGGGUCUGUUCUUUAGUAUCUGAAUCAUAUUGUAAAGUUCAAGAAAAUACCCAUUUCAAAUCUAGACAUCCCAAGUUGAAAUUGCCUAUAGAUUCUGAGUAUUUGACUCAAGAACAGGCUAUAACUGUUGUUGCUUCUCUUGCAGAUGAGGGAGGGUCCAUGCUGGCAUUGAGUUUCUUUUAUUGGGCAAUUGGGUAUGUGAAAUUCAGGCAUUUUAUGAGGCUUUAUAUUGUUUUAGCUAUUUAUUUGAUUAAAAAUGGAAACUUUGAGAGAACCCAUGAAGUGAUGCAUUUUAUGUUGAGGAAUUUUUGUGAAGUUGGUAUGUUAAAGGAGGCUGUAGAUAUGGUUUUUGAGAUGCAAAAUCAAGGUUUGGUUUUGAAUGCUGGGAGUUUGAAUUCUGUUGUUAGUGUUGCUACUGAGAUGGGGCAUGUUGAGAUGGCAGAGAAGGUGUUUGGUGAAAUGUGUGACAGAGGGGUGUGUCCUGAUUCAUUUUGUUUCGAGUCUAUGGUUGUUGCUUAUUGCAGGAUGGGAAGAGUUGUAGAGGCUGAUAGGUGGCUGAGUGCAAUGCUAGAAAGGGGGUUUCUUGUUGAUAAUGCGACUUGCACUUUAAUAAUGAGUGUUUUCUGUGAUAAGGGGUCUGUUAAUAGAGUGUUGUGGAUUUUUAAUAAACUGAUUGAAUUGGGGUUGGCUCCAAAUGUUAUCAAUUAUACGUGUUUGAUAAAUGGAUUGUGUAAGAAAGGCAUUAUUAAGCAUGCGUUCGAGUUGUUAGAGGAAAUGGUUAGAAAAGGUUUGAAACCAAAUGUUUUCACUCAUACUGUAUUGAUUGAUGGUCUUUGUAAGAAAGGCUGGAUGGAUAAGGCUUUUAGACUAUUCUUAAAACUUGUGAAGAGUGACAAUUACAAGCCUAAUGUGCAUACAUAUACAGCCAUGAUAGCUGGAUACUGCAAACAGGAAAAAUUGAAUCGAGCAGAGAUGCUUCUGAGCAGAAUGCAAGAACAAGAGUUGGUCCCUAAUGCCAACACCUACACUGCUCUCAUUGAUGGGUACUGUAAAGUAGGAAACUUUGAUGUUGCAUAUAAAUUAUUGCGUGUGAUGGAUGAAAAAGGCUUGGCGCCAAGCAUUUUUACGUAUAACGCGGUCAUUGAUGGCCUGUGUAAAAAGGGAAGGGUUCAAGAGGCUUAUCAGAUGCUGAAGAAAGGUAUGCAAAUUGGAAUUUCGCCAGAUUUAGUGACUUACACCAUUCUAAUGUCUCAGAGCUGCAAACUAGGAGAUAAUGGACAAGCUUUUGCUCUUUUCAGCAAGAUGGUUAAAGCUGGUAUCAGCCCUGAUAUGCAUACAUACACCACAUUAAUUGCUGCCUUGUGUAGGCAAAAGAAAAUGAAAGACAGUGAAAAGCUCUUUGAUGAUGCUGUAAUUUUAGGUUUGAUACCUACCAAAGAGACUUGUACUUCCAUGAUAUGUGGAUAUUGUAGAGAUAAAAAUGUGGCCAUGGCCAAGAAGUACUUCCAGAGGAUGGGAGAAUAUGGUUGUGUACCUGAUAGCCUCACUUAUGGUGCUUUGAUUAGUGGGCUUUGUAAGGAGUCAAAGUUGGAUGAGGCUAGAGACCUUUACAAUUCAAUGGUUGAUAAAGGUAUUCUCCCAUGUGAAGUUACACGGCUGACUGUAGCUUAUGAGUAUUGCAAGAACAAUGAACCAACCAUCGCGAUGGGCCUCUUAGAUAGAUUAGAAAAAAAACUUUGGAUUCGAACCGUAUCUACCCUAGUCAGGAAGCUUUGCAGUGAAAAGAAUGUGGAUGUAGCUGCUCUAUUUUUCCAUAAACUGCUAGACAAACAGCAGAGUGUGGAUCGAGUAACCCUUGCAGCAUUUAUGUCGGCGUGCUAUGAAAGCAAUAACUAUGACCUUGUCUCCAGUAUGAAUGAGAGGAUAACAAAAGAUUUUGGAGAAUCUACGGUAGAGUGACCUUGUGAUUUACUGUACAACAACCAAAAGGCUAUUUGGCAGGUGUGCAAGUAGCAAGUUAAAAUGAUUGAUUUAUCCUCUUUAAGAUAGAGCAUUAAAGCUGUCCCCUCACACUACUUCUUGAUUUGGGUAAUGCCAAAAGUAAGAAGCAAGCGCUGGGUUAAUUUACUGAUUUGAACAGAAGCGUGUAGCUUUCUCAAAAGUCUCUAUUGUUUGGGCUAUGUGGAAACUAGCUGCCUGUGGAAUGGUGACCUCUACUCUUCCUUCUUAUGCAUUGUCAUGUUAAUAAUUUAGUUAUUCUAAUGUAGUUUGUAGAGGACCCUCUUCUGCAGUGUACACUGUUGGAUAUAGUGUUGUUUCCCUUAAAUCGAUUUGAUGUUCCUGAAAUCGUGUUUUUGGUUUUUUCAAGAAAAAGCCAUAGUUAGUUAGGUUAAACUAUGUUUUUCUCUUAUCAGUAGUAACAUUUCAUUAAAAUGAGGGAAGCACUAAGAUGGUGCUAAAUAUUUACAGCUACACAUUAGAACAGUUCCUUGGAAAAACCAAAAACACUAAGACAAUGUGAGCAGUAUGAUAAGAUGUGAAAACACUGGAUCAGAUCUGAAAGCAAUAUGUGGAACUAUCUUCGCCAAGCUUACACUCGGUUUUUCAUUUAGAGUGUUGGUGCCAGGAUGUGUACCGUUCUGUUUCACCUUUGCCUAGUUUGAACUUGACAGACUU